UGGGGGAAUAUUGCACAAUGGGGGGAAACCCGUGAUGCAGCGACGCCGCGUGAGUGAAGAAGUUAUUCGUAACGUAAAGCUCUAUCAGCAGGAAAGAUCAUGACGGUACCUGACUAAGAAGCCCCGGCUAACUACGUGCCAGCAGCCGCGGUAAUACGUAGGGGGCAAGCGUUAUCCGGAUUUACUGGGUGUAAAGGGAGCGUAGACGGCAGAGCAAGUCUGAUGUGAAAGCCCCGGGGCCCAACCCGGAACUGCAUUGGAAACUGUUCGGCUGGAGUGCAGGAGAGGUAAGCGGAAUUCCUAGUGUAGCGGUGAAAUGCGUAGAUAUUAGGAGGAACACCAGUGGCGAAGGCGGCUUACUGGACUGUAACUGACGUUGAGGCUCGAAAGCGUGGGGAGCAAAC
rnacentral:rRNA from 1 species